CAAAAGGAAAGCUAGAGUUUUUGCCAUAAUUUCUUGCAGAAUAAACAACAAUCAAGAGAUUUACUUUUGUCGGUAUCUCCUGCAGAAUAGACAACAAUCAACAGAGAGUUCAUUGGAGAAAUCUACAGUGGCGGAUCCUAGAAGGCACAGAUGAGGCCAGUAGCUGCUCUCUUGGGUUUUUACUCAUCUUUUGUUUUUUUAUGCAGCUGAAGAUGUUGAUUUAUGGAUUCUAAUGUAAAAUGGGGUUAAAAUGUUGAUUUAUGAAUUCUAAUGCAAACUAGAGUUUGAAUAUUGUCCCCUUAUAUCUAUUAUGUUAAAUUUUGUGUCUCUAGAACAA